rnacentral:rRNA from 1 species
GACGAACUGCCCAAACGUUGUUCGGAAUCACUGGGCUUAAAGGGCGCGUAGGCGGCAGAUCAAGUCAGGGGUGAAAUCCGGCAGCUCAACUGUCGGAGGGCCUUUGAUACUGAUUUGCUCGAGGGAUAUAGGGGUCUGUGGAACUUCUGGUGGAGUGGUGAAAUGCGUUGAUAUCAGAAGGAACGCCGGUGGCGAAAGCGACGGACUGGAUAUCUUCUGACGCUGAGGCGCGAAAGCUAGGGGAGCAAACGGG